rnacentral:piRNA from 1 species
UGAUCUAGUCAAGUGGCUCUGAGCAGAC